rnacentral:tmRNA from 1 species
GGGGAUGAAAGGAUUUCGACGGGUAUAAAGAAGCACCGUAAGCGCAUAGCGGAGUUGCACCGCUUAAAAAGUAACACCUUAAAUUGAACUGACAAUCAUAAAACAGUAGCUCUGGCUGCUUAAUUGCAGCCAGCGUUCUCGCUCUGAGGGCCACGGCAGGGAUGAGAGCGUCGUUUAGUGGCGAACUUGCACGGAGGAGCGUUCCGGCCCCCGUCAGGAAUUAGGAACUACCGUAGCGCCCAGUCUGUUUGCCGGCGAAGCGUGAGGGGAACCCUCAGCGACAAACUAUAUGCGUAGAAAGCGUUGCAGGCGUAUAUUCGGACGCGGUUUCGAUUACCGCCAUCUCCACCA